CUCUGCUUAUGCACUGACGGGCUGAAGCUGCUCCUGCUUUUGGGAUGAGAAAAGGGAACGGUAGAUGUAUCCUGGAGAAAGGAUUUAAGAGCUAUGUAAAAUUCUCCUUUGAUUCCUUCUGCAUAGAUGCUCUUCACCUUUUUAUUUUUAUGUAUUUAUUUAUUUAUUUUGUGGGAGGAAUGACAGUCCUUUUCCCAGAAGUAGUUAAUGAACUGGAUCUGUUCUCUACCAUGAUGCCAACGUGCCAACUCUCCAUACAUGCAAAACAGCAUUUAAGAUACCACAGAAAGGACUGUAUGAUCUGUUAAAUAUCAUGGAAAAGAAAAAAAAGGGAUUAUUUCCCUUCCUUGAAAAUGGGACUGUUUCGUGUGAGGAUUUACUUCGUGCUCCUUCCACAGAUCUUUCUGUUUGCCUUGGGCUGUGAUUUCCUGUGGGCAAUGAUGGAGGAACAGCACGGUCUAGAUAAACUCUACUUAACUUGCUUAUUGGGAUGGAGGUGGAUUGGCAUUGUCCUUUUUCCAGGAGUCAAGACUGAAGAAUUACAGAAAUACUGCAGUGUUAUCAAGUGGAUCAUUUAAGCAAAUAUGGUAGGAAGGAAAGUAUCAAGGUUACCGACUGGAUUCCUGGAGCAGAUGAGUAGACCUUCAUGGCCAGACAACAGAGCAAGCUGACGAAGUCCAUGUAGCCAACUCUGCAGUCAAAACCAAAGUGCUGGGACUCAGAAGGUCUCGCUUGUUAAUUUGACUGUGUGUAAACAAAGAAAUGCUGUUGGCCCUAUUAAUCUCAGCGCAGGCCUGAGGGAUAAUGGCAGAUGACUCAUGGACCAGACACCAGUGACAACGCAUUACUCCGUGUCUGUUGGCCAAGUGCUACUGACUGAAAUCACUGGCUCUACCUCAAUUCACUGCAGCAAAGUGUCUGGUCUUGCUUGGAUUUGCUUGAGAAAUGACCUUUAUUUUUCUUAUCCACAUUCUCACCUUAUGCAGUCUCCAUGUGUGUGCCAAAGUCACCUCCCCUGCAAGGGUGGACAGAUUUAGAGAUGCUCAAAAUGGCACAGCAGGUUCACAGACAUCUCUUAUCUCCAUAAAACUCCUAGAGAGCAUCCAGAGGAGGGCUAAGAAGAUGGUGAAGGUUCUGGAGGAUUCUUUCCAACUCAAGGUAUUCUGUGAUCCUAAAAGAGGGGCAGCAGCCAGCAAGGAUGGAAUCAUCACAAAGGGGAGAAAUUGCACUUAAUGGGAGGCAGCCAGGGUGCUUGGUGCACUUAUCACACUUGCCUGCAUCAUACUGCUUUCUCCUCUGCCUCUGCUUUUCCACAUGAGGACUCUGCUACGUGAAGGCCAAGGCAUGCCAGUUUCCCUCUGAAGCCUGUUGUCUUGCGUCCCAACAACUGGUACCUGUUCUCAGCUUCAUCCAUGCCUGUUUAACUUCUGUGCUGCUGGAAGUACGGCGUGGAACUGGAGAUUCGCCAGUUGUGGCUAAAAUUUCUCCAUCACUGUUGCUCUGAGCUAAAAAUAAAUGAAUAAAUAAAUCAUCAGAAUCAGCGAGCACCCACCUGAUGCACUGCACUUCAGUAAAGUUGUCUGUGCUCUGAGCUGAGAUUCAGCCCACUCCUGUUUCUGCCUUUCAUGGGCCCUCUUCAUGGAUGACAACCUAGGCAUACUCCAGGCUCUUACUAGUUGGAUCCUUGUGCCCUGCUUAUCCUGCUCAUGCCAUGGGACCACAGCCAUACAGAAAUCCAACCUUUAAUGGAUGUUUUGAGAUGAUUCCUGCUGGAGGACAAAAGAUCAUCGAAGUGAGCUACUAUCUGCCAUUUUGGAUAAGAUGAUUCCUUUCGGAGAGAAAAAUAUGAAAAGGAAAAGAGAAUCCCUGCCCUGAUAUUCAUCAAGCCAGCAGGAAAAGCAUGCAGAAAAUUCUGGUUUACACAAACAAAGCUAUGCUUUACCGUGCAGUGUCGUGGUUCACCUUUCCACUUACACAGACUAACUCACCGCUGCUAGUGGUCUCAGCCACUGCCGAUGAGAGGACUGUGGAGGCUGCCCUGGCAUGGAGAUAUUCAUACCUUUCUAUUUGGCAAGAGUAUCCCCAAAACAAAGGUUGUCUUGCUGGAUUGCUUCUUAUACCUUGUGGAUUGUGAGGCUGCACGAAUGCUUGAGCUGACACCAGCAAAAGGGCAGAUUGAAAAUGAUGGUCUUGUUCUUAAAGGAGAGCUGACUGUGGCCAUGCUGAGCACUUCUCAGGAUGAGACCUGCACAGAUCACCUCACAUUAGAAUUCCAUGUCUGACAGCAGCUUCGGAAAGGCAAUGGCAAAUCAGUCUCUUCUGAGGAGGAUAAACAACUGGCAACAAAUGUAGGCAGGAAAGGGUAGCUGUUCAGAGCAUCCUGCAGCAGGCUUCACCCUUGGUUUCUGCUUGCUUUCUGCCUCUUGAAGAAUAAAUGAAAAUGUAUCUCGAGAAAUGAGGUUCCUAGAAAGAAGUUCAAAUUCCAGAUGGCUGAUACCACCCAGGCACCAGCUGUUGAGGAGGGCCACACAUGUCCAGGGUGUGUGUACAGUCUUUGGUAUGAGAAUCGCCCUCCUGAUUACCAUCGGAGAACGUAGCACGUACCAAUAUAAGUAUUGUUUUGUUAGAAGUGAAACCUUUACCAAGCAAUACCAAGGAGCAAUCAAAGGUCACCUGGGCACUGGAUAAGUUUUCCUUGAAGGCUGAAGCUCACAACUCAACAAGAGAAUCCACAGUGAUCUCUAAGAGGUGAGAGGUUGCUUUAUCCAGGUUUUCCUUCAUUUCAAAGACUUGCAGUCACUGCUCUUUCAUAUUCACAAAAUGCACUGAGCAUGAUGUACUGGGAUGUGAUGUCCUCUGGGUUUAGCUGGUAGGAGCUCUUUUUUGCAUGGUGCUUAUGUCCUGUGAAUGUGUUCUGAGCAGUGCAUGCCAAUAUCUGCUGACAUGGUUGGAGGUGAGUCCACUGUGUAAGCACAUACUCCUAUGCAAUUACAUCUGAUAGGGUCUCUCAUGUCUUUGCUAAACAGUGCUCAGCUGUAGGAAACCAGGUUCUCUCUCGGUUACCAGAUUUGCUAAUAUUAGGUUGCUGCAAGACUAUUUGAUGCUAGCAAGUGAUGAAAGGCACAGGGCAGACUCCAAAAGAGAUGAAGUGAAAUGAAUGAGACUGCCAGGUUCCCUUGCUGCUUUUAUUGUCACAAAAAGCAUUACUGUUGGAAAGAAUGCACUUUCACUCCUUCCAGUUCAUCUUAGAAUGCCCCUAAAAAUUGAGUUUGUGAAGAAUCAUACAUCACCUGGAGUAGAACAUGCCCUGUUGGUCCAUAAAACAAGUUUUCUCUGUUGUUCCCUAAAUGGAAUUAUCUUCUCAGUGCCUUCAAAUCAAAACUUUACCUCUCUGUUCUAACACAAUGCUGUUAAGCAUAUAGAAUCUUCAUUGUUUGGGUGGGGUUUUUUUUAAGAAACUUUAGUAGCAUUUGGAAUCCUAACCCUUCAACUUUGAAUGAUAUGUUUCAGGCCGAGCUGAAAUGAUGUCUGCUUUUCCUUUUUACAUUGUUUAGGA
ensembl:lncRNA